UCCCUGGAGGACUAGUGGUUAGGACUCGGCACUCUCACCACCAUGGUCCAGGUUCGAUUCCCAGCCAGGGAA